CCUACGGGCGGCUGCAGUGAGGAAUAUUGGUCAAUGGACGAGAGUCUGAACCAGCCAAGUAGCGUGAAGGAUGACUGCCCUAUGGGUUGUAAACUUCUUUUAUAUGGGAAUAAAACGUUCCACGUGUGGGAUUUUGUAUGUACCAUAUGAAUAAGGAUCGGCUAACUCCGUGCCAGCAGCCGCGGUAAUACGGGGGAUCCGAGCGUUAGCCGGAUUUAUUGGGGUUAAAGGGAGCGUAGGUGGAUUGUUAAGUCAGUUGUGAAAGUUUGCGGCUCAACCGUAAAAUUGCAGUUGAAACUGGCAGUCUUGAGUACAGUAGAGGUGGGCGGAAUUCGUGGUGUAGCGGUGAAAUGCUUAGAUAUCACGAAGAACUCCGAUUGCGAAGGCAGUUCACUGGACUGCAACUGACACUGAGGCUCGAAAGUGUGGGUAUCAAACAGGAUUAGAUACCCUUGUAGUC
rnacentral:rRNA from 1 species